CUGUGCUAAAAAAAUUAAUAAAUGUUUAAUAACGUAAGUGGCAAUUAGUGGACAAUAUAAAGUGUGUAAUUAGCUAAUCAAAGAACGUUUAGUGUGUGUGCAAUUAGAUAUGUGUAUUUUAGGGUAUGUGUGCUAAAUUAUAUGUGCGGUGCGCGCAAAAGCCAGCCUGUCCAAUUGGUUAACAUUGAAAAUAAUUCAAAGGAUUUAAAGGAAAUGCAGAUAUGAACAUAUUAUUAUUGAUGAUGAUUAUAGAAUUCCCCAACAAUGGCUGACUUGGGAAAAAGGGAUUUUAAAAAUAAGUUGAGCAUUUAAAAAAAUCACUGGGAUCAAAUUUCUCUGCUUG